CGGGUGGGGGAGAUGCGCGUGCGGAGUAGCGGGAAGCGACUGAGGAGGGGGGACUGGGCAGCAUUUGAAUGGAUGCAGGUGCCGCUGGCACCCGGGAAGACGCUGGGGGCCGGCGCUGUAGAGCCGGGCAUGGGCUGGGAUGUGUUUGGAUUCCAAUCCGGGCCUGACACCAGUUCAGUGACCUCGGGCAGUUCCCCAACCCUCCGGGCCUGUUUCCUCCGUCUGAAGUGGCGACAGUAAUAGAACCGACCUCGUAGGCUCAUCGGGAGGUCCUGAUGGGAGAACCCAUGCAACUUGCCACCAUAGAGCCAGGCCCGCGGCGGUUGGCGCCUGGUGGGUAUUAAAGACGAGUCGGGAAAGAAGAGCAGGGUUGAUAGACUGGAUGCUGCUAUGGUAAUCUGCCUCAGGAAAAUGCCGGACUGUUGUUUGCAAGCUGGUUAAGUGAGCAAAUCUUGGGAAGAUUUCAAGUCAUGGAAUAAGGCCAUACCCUGUGGGUAGGGUAUAAAGGUUUCCCUCUAUAUAGUAGGUGUUCUCAUUAUCAGUCAUUCAAAGAAAAAGAGAAUCCUCACCAGAAAAACUUGGAACAUGGAAUAGAUGGAAGGUGGCACUUCUGGAUAUGCCUUUUUACAUCUGAACUUGGAAGAGUUAAGAAUUGUUGAAGGCCCUUCUCACUGAUCAGGGGAAAUAGCUUCUGUCACAGAGCUGCCUACUCCAGGAGAACCAAAAAUGAAAGUAAACACUCAUAUUUUGUAAGUCUGUUCCUGAACUUCCGUCAAUCAAGUUUAAUCUAAAUCAAGGAUCCAAACUGAGAAGCAUUUAAGGACCAAGAAAAAGUUAAUUAGCCCAGUGUAAGUCAACAAGAAAUGAUAAGCAGUAUGGAGGAAAAGGAGUGCCACACCCUUCUAGGCAUCCAAAUUCAAGCAUUUACAAUGUACUUCAUGAAGCAGUACCCUAUACAGCACUAAUAACAGCCCAAACUUGCUUGACAUUUCUACAUAAUACAUUAUUCAUUAAUUCAGAAGAAAAAUAGAAUUCUUAAAACUCCUAACUUUAUUUUUAAUUAAUAUAAAGGAGGAACCAACAACAACAAAAAAUUGUGUGGGAGUUAGAAAAUAAGGACUAGGCGCCUGGGCGCGGUGGCUCACGCCUGUAAUCCCAGCACUUUGGGAGGCCGAGGCAGGCAGAUCACGAGGUCAGGAGAUUGAGACCAUCCUGGCUAACACGGUGAAACCCCGUCUCUACUAAAAAAUAGGAAAAAUUAGCUGGGCGUGGUGGCGGGCGCCGGGCGCAGCUACUCUGGAGGCUGAGGCAGGAGGAUGGCGUGAACCUGGGAGGCAGAGCUUGCAGUGAGCCAAGAUCGCGCCACUACACUCCAGCCUGGGUGACAGAGCGACACUCUGUCUCAAAAAAAAAAAAAGGACUAGGCAGGCGGAUGUGGGGUGGGGCAAACAAAACAUGGCAGCCAGCAGACCGGUCUAUUUCAGCAUAGUCUCUGCUGCAGUAUUUAAGAAAUAGGUAGAGCCAGCCAGGCGCGGUGGUUCACGCCUGUAAUCCCAGCACUUUGGGAGGCCGAGGCGGGCGGAUCACCUGAGGUCUGGAGUUCGAGACCAGCCUGACCAACAUGGAGAAACCGCGUCUCUACUAAAAAUACAAAAUUAGCCAGGCGUGGUGGCACAGGCCUGUAAUCCCAGCUACUUGGGAGGCUGAGGCAGGAGAAUCACUUGAACCCAGAAGGCGGAGGUUGUGGUGAGCCCAGAUCGUGCCAUUGCACUCCAUCCUGGGCAACAAGAGUGAAAUUCCCCAUCUCAAAAACAAAGAGAUAGGUAGAGCCGGCCGUGGUGGCUCACGCCUGUAAUCCGAGAAGGCUGAGUUCGGUGGAUCACUUGAGAUCAAGAGUUUGAGACUAGCCUGGCCAACAUGGUGAAACCCCAUCUCUGCUAAAAAAAAAAAAAAAUACAAAAAUUAGUCGGGCAUGGUGGCAGGCAUCUGUAAUCACAGCUACUUGGGAGGCUGAGGCAGGAGAAUCGCUUGAACCCCAGAGGCAGAGGUUGCAGUGAGUUGAGAUCGCGUCACUGCAGUCCAACGACAGAGUAAGACUCCGUCUCAAAAAAAAAAAAAAAAAAAAGAUAGCAGAAUGCUUCCUCCCGGUGCCAAGGGUGAUUUAUGAAAGAUCCCCAAGGAAAAGUUGAAUAUCAGAAUGAGGGUCAUUUUGGCAGUCCCAUCCCUGUAUGGAGACAGUCCUUUCGUUGUUACUUUUGGCAGAUGAGGAUCUGAGUUUAAGAGACCUGGUUGGUGGGGGAGGGGGGAGGGAUAGCUUUAGGAGAUAUACCUAAUGCUAAAUGACGAGUUAAUGGGUGCAGCACACCAGCAUGGCACAUGUAUACAUAUGUAACCAACCUGCACAUUGUGCACAUGUACCCUAAAACUUAAAGUAUAAUAAUAAUAAAAUAAAAUAAAAAAAGAGACCUGGUGGAUUUCCGUACAACUUCAUAAUUUCCCCCUAUCCAAGACCCACGGUUCCAUUUUUGUCACCGUGGCCACAGUGGCUGAAAUGGCUCACUUCAUUUUUUGCACUAAACAGCCUUCAGCCCCACACUGCACCGCUAAAUGGACAAGUUCUUUUUUCCCUAGUGUCUUAAAUUCAUGGCCUCAGUCUGAGGCCUUUAGUUUUAUACUGCUUUGGGAGAGUCCUCUUUACAGUCUUAGAGAUAUACAUAUACCUCUUACUGUUUACCACCUCUAAUUUAAUAGCAAGAAAGAAACUGGAAAUCUUGUAGGAAUACUCUGCUCCUUUUUUUUUUUUUUUUUUACUUCACUCUUGUCACCAGGCUGGAGUGCAAUGGCGCGAUCUUGGGAUCUUGGUUCACUGCAACCUCUGCCUCCCAGGUUCAAGUAAUUCUCCUGCCUCAGCCUCCCCAGUAGCUGGGAUUAUAGGUGCCUGCCAACACGCCUGGCUAAUUUUUAUAUUUUUAGUAGAGACGAGGUUUCACCAUGUUGGCCAGGCUGGUCUCAAACACCUGAACUCAGGUUAUCUGCCUGCCUCGGCCUCCCAAUGUGCUGGGAUUACAAGUGUGAGCCACUGCGCCUGGCCAAGGAAUACUCUUUGUUCUAUGCUACCUACUAGGACAGCUAGUCUACUCAGUUACCCCAAAACCAAAAGGAUAGUAACUCAACAAGCUCAGAAUACACCAUUCUGCUUGCAGCCAUUGUUUUCACCACUACCCCAUUUCCCCCUGCACACAUAGCUCAUUACCUUGUCACAUGUACACUUACUAUAGUCACAGCAGGAGCUAGAAUCUGGAGAUGUUACAUGCCACACAAGAGGUCAGUGAGAAGCACAAAACCAUACAUUGCAAAUGGGUAACAUAUCAGUGUAGCCAUCCAAGCAGAGGAUUAGGUAUGGCCUUCAUCUCAUGUUCCCAUUAGGCUCAGAUGGGCUAGAUAAUGGGGUUUUGCUCCUGUUUCCAAUUCAAAGAUAGUCAACCUGGGAGCUUUCUAACUCUAUCAUAUGUAUUUCAUUUGUUUCACCAGUUACUCAUUUGAUCAACCCAGGGAAGACCAUAUCAUGAAUGAAACACAGCCCAAGUAUGCUUUAACCAUAACGUGGGAGUGCAUAAUUCAGGCUACCAAGACCAUUUAACAGAAUCCAGUGGAAUGAGGGAAGUCUGGACUACAGGAGUUAGUGGGGGAAUUCUCAGUCACUGGAACCAUGCUUCUAAACAAAGGCCUUCACCAAGAACCUAGGGCAAUCUUAUUCCAUCUGCCAGAACUUAUAGGGAUAUCACUAAAUUAUGCUUAGUCAAAAUUGGGUAAUUUGUAGUUUAUAAAUACUAUAAAACUGAUAUUUAAAUCUAGGUCUACUUAAUUCCUAGCUUCUGUUCUUAAGUGCUAGAUUAUUUUGAUUCAUUUAUUUUGUUCAAAAUCUUGAUGUUAUAGGAAAGGAUGGGGAUGAGGAGGAUGAUGAGGCAGGAAAAUGCAGAACUGUUUCAUAGUCCCAACGCUGAACCUUUGUACAGGCUGUUUCUUCUUCAUAUAAAGCACUUCUUGGCCAGGCGUGGUGGCUCACGCCUAUAAUCCCAGCUCUUUGAGAGGCUGAGGUGGGCGGGUCACUUGAGGUCAGGAGUUCAAGACAAGCAUGGCCAACAUGGUGAAACGCAAUCUCUACUAAAAAUACAAAAAAAUUAGCCAGAUGUGGUAGUGCGCCUGUAGUCCCAGCUACUUGGGGGGCUGAGGCAGGAGAAUUGUUUGAACCAGGGAGGCAGAGGUUGCAGUGAGCCGAGAUCGUGCCACUGCACUCUAGCCUGGGUGACAGAGCGAGACUCCAUCUCAAAAAAAAAAAAUUAAUUAAAAAAAUAAAAAGCACUUCUUCCUUCCACUUGGUAAACUGUGCAGAAUAACAUGGAGAUGGAGGAGAGGCAGGUAGAUUAAGGGGGAGCAGUUUUAGUAAUUCUAUGAUUCAGACCUCUUUUUAAUUCAGCUUUCCUGCUAAUUAAUGUAAAUUAGUAAGGUUUCUGCUGGGUGCGGUGGCUCAUGCCUGUAAUCCCAGCACUUUGGGAGGCCAAGGCGGGUGGAUCACGAGGUCAAGAGAUCGAGACCAUGCUGGCUAACAUGGUGAAACCCCGUCUCUACUAAAAAUACAAAAAAAAAUUCGCCAGGCGUGGUGGCAGGCGCCUGUAGUCCCAGCUACUCAGGAGGCUGAGACAGGAGAAUGGCGUGAACCUGGGAGCCGGAGCUUGCAGUGAGCCAAGAUCACACCUCUGCACUCCAGCCUGAGCGACAUAGUGAGACCCCGUCUCAAAAAAAAAAAAAAAAUUAAUAAGGUUUCAUAAUUAUUAUAUUUACCAACCAGGUUCUUUCUACAUAAUUAUUGUUUACCUUCUAAUAAAUUACUUAGAAAGGCCACCUACAAAUCCAAAUUAUAUACAAAACGUUUCAUUUCCUAUUUCCUUCCCAGGGAUGCAUAAUUACUUUGGAAAAAUCAGUGGCAGCUGGGCACGGUGGCUCAUGCCUGUAAUCCCAGCACUCUGGGAGGCCAAGGCAGGCGGAUCCAUCUGAGGUCAGGAGUUCAAAACCAGCCUGGCCAACAUAGUAAAACCCCAUCCUUACUAAAAAUACAAAAAUUAGCUGGGCAUUGUGGUGCACACCUAUAGUCCCAGCUACUCAGGAGGCUAAGGCAGGAGAAUCGCUUGAACCCAGGAGGCAGAGAUCGCAGUGAGCUGAGAUGGCGCCACUGCACUCCAGCCUGGGUGACAGAGCGAGACUGUCUCUUAGGGAAAAAAAAAAAUCAUUGGCUUGUAAGUUAAAAUCUUUAUCUUGCUCUACCUUCUCUGGAAUACCUACAUCUCUUAUGUUUUUUUAACAUUACAUAUUCACAAGCUUUACCAAUUCACGGAAAGGAUUCCUCUAGGAUUUUGGUGGAUCUCUUGAAGCACUAAGAACCUCAAGCAAAAAUGUAUGCGAUCUUUGUACUUUAAAAUUAAAGUAUUUCAACCAGGAGCAGUGGCUCAUGCCUGUAGUCCCAGCGCUUUGGGAGGCCAAGGCAGGAUGAUUGCUUGAGCCUUGGAGUUUGAGACUAGUCUGGCCAACAUAGCCAGACCCCGUUUCUUUAAAAGAAAAAAAAAAAAACAAUUAGCUGCAUGUGGUGGCACACAUGUAGUAUCAGCUUUGGGAGGCCCAGAUGGGAAGAUUGCUUGAUCUCAGGAGGUUGAGGCUGCAAUGAGCUAUGAUCAUGCCACUGCACUCCAGCCUGGGUGAUAGAGCAAGACCCUGUCUCAAAAAAAAUUUUUUUUAAUAGAUAAACAUUCAGGCAUUCCAAACUCCUAAUGUAUUGUCUACUAUUAAGAAUGCAUGCUGGCUGAGGCAGGAGUUCAAGACCAGCCUGGCCAACAUGAUGAAACCCCAUCUCUACUAAAAUACAAAGAUUAGCUGGGCCAGGUGGUGGGUACCUGUAAUCCCAGCUACUCAGGAGGCUGAGGUAGGAGAAUGUCUUGAACCUGGGAGGCAGAGAUUGCAGUGAGCCGAGAUCUCGCCACUGCAUUCCAGCCUGGGCAACAGAGUAAGACUCCAUCUCCAAAAAAAAA